GAUGAACGCUAGCGAUAGGCUUAACACAUGCAAGUCGAGGGGUAACGUGUUGGAAGCUUGCUUCCGAUGACGACGACCGGCGGAUGGGUGCGUAACGCGUAUGCAACUUGCCUCACAGUGGAGAAUAACCCGGAGAAAUCCGGACUAAUACUCCAUACACUCUUAAGUACGCCUGUACAUGAGAGGAAAGAUUUAUCGCUGUGAGAUAGGCAUGCGUCCUAUUAGGUAGUUGGUGAGGUAACGGCUCACCAAGCCGACGAUAGGUAGGGGUGCUGAGAGGCAGAUCCCCCACAUUGGGACUGAGACACGGCCCAAACUCCUACGGGAGGCAGCAGUGAGGAAUAUUGGUCAAUGGAGGAAACUCUGAACCAGCCAAGUCGCGUGAAGGAAGAAUGUCCUAAGGAUUGUAAACUUCUUUAGCGAGCGAGUAAGGACUUCCACGUGAUGGGAGUUUGAAAGUAGCUCAAGAAUAAGUAUCGGCUAACUCCGUG
rnacentral:rRNA from 1 species